CGAGGACAUCUAUGGUGUCCUUCACACUGUGGAUGGACUGCGCGCGGCGGCGCGUUGUUUGGUAUUAUAGUACACAAUGGUUGUAGAUGAGAUGAUCGAGGAGGCUAGUGCGGUCGCUUGUGGUCUAGCCUCGACCACAACCACAUACAACAAGGGAUCAAGAUCGAUGGAGAGACGGAUAGACAGAGGUCAUUGACAUUGACUGGGUCUGUCCAGGACCAGGAGUGAGCGUUUUAAUAUUGUGAGACCCGAGUGACAUUAAGAAAUAAAUUUGAGGACCAUACUGAGAUGCGAUGAAAAUAAAGUGCAGUGAGAUCCGAACAUUGUUUAGAUAUCUGAACGAACAUUUUGCAAGUUUUGAGACCAGGAUAACAUAACGAUACAAGUUUAGGGAUAGAUGGUAUAUAUAUUUUACUCUAUAUUUAAGUAGCAAAGUAACCCCCUCCUGCUUUUAAGAAAACACUAUAUAUGUGUAGUAUUACAUAAUAGCCAGGAAGGGACAAUUUAUUAUAUUUAAGAAACGCCAAGCUAGGAUCAUUGCAACAUGGCUAGUUGGAUCAGAGUGCUAGCAUGUGUAGCACCAGCAUUUGAAGUCGCAGUCACAAUCGCCGUACAUGUUCUCGGAGCUCUCAGCUAUGCAUGUAUCACCGCAACUGUCGUCAAAGCCCCAGCACGGUCCUUUAUAAUUGCCGCUCAGGUGCCGGCAAUCAAGGUGUUCAACCUCGCAUGCAAAUGCCAUUGAACACACGGGACAUACUAGCACAUGCAAGAAAUCUUGUUAAUUAGCCGAAAGAUUAAUCAAACAACAAAUUAACUUGCAUAAAUAAACCAGACAAUUCAAUGCCAAAACUUAAGUUGUUUGGAGACACUUAUAUUUCCAAUAGUUCAAACAUGUGCACGUACGUACCGGCGGCCACGAUGACAAUUAGAAGCACGACUGCAGCAAGACGAUUCUUUCUUGAAGGUGCCAUUGGUUUUUUGUGGAAGUUUUUGUACGUUAGAAGAAAAGAAUGAGUGAGGAGGCCAGUGGACGAUCUGAGUGACGAGAAGCCCGACAAUAUAUAUAUAUAAUAAAUCACAUGCCUAGUAUGUUCCGCGCCGUAGAAGCAUACAUGGGUAUUAUCGAGAGUCCAUGCAUGGCGGAGGGAAGGGGGGGCUGAGGGGGGCCUGGCACCCCCCAACCUUCCCAUAACUCCCUUAAUACACCACAUAGAUUAGAUGUUUAAUUAUCUAAUUAGCUAGUUAAUGAUAUUAUCUGUACUAAGAUUUUUAUUCUUAUUUUAUAUUAAUCUCUAAUAGUUUCUUAUACAAAUAGAAUCUAGAUCUUUCUAAUAUUUUCUUCAUAUCUUUUAUUUUUAUUAUUGCCUAUCAAACAUCAAUUUGUCUCCUACCACACACUCUAAUUAGCUAGUUAAUUGAAAAUCACCGUUUUCCUUGUUUAAUCCUUCUGAUUGAUCUCCAACGAUGGGAUCUAUAUUAUUUAGUAUUAGUCUUGCUAUUAUCUUUCUUAUCUCCUGUGCUUCUAUCAAUAUUCGUCUAAACUCUAAACGGUCAUUUAGCCCGUUGUACUCAACUUUUAAACACUAACAAUGGUAUGGUGUUUCUGUUUAACCUUCUAUUUAAAUAACCGUUUUACCUGUUUAAGUGAUCGUUUUGUCUAAGACUAAAUGAUAUGUAACUGAUUGUUUGUCAUUUGAUGUUAGGAUCUAGUACUAAUUAAUUUUGCCCCCAUUUAACUACUUGUUUUUAUUGUGAUUCUUUUCCUGGACAAAGAAAUAGAAUGAUCAGGUGAAUGUUAGAGGCUUGAGACUAGUUAAAUUUUUCUUUUAUUUUUUUAGUUUUUCUGCUUUUUUUGCAUCGCAACACAAACGUUUAUUUUGGUGCUAUGUACACCUUUGUCAUGUAAUAUUUUGACACACAUGAUUGUUCUUGGUUUGCACGGCCCCCCCUAUGUUCAAAUCCUGGCUCCGCCCCUGCAUGCAUCAUCCACAUUAUAUUAUAUUGUCAGCAUUUGAUGACCGAUUUGAACUGAAGGACAGGUUAACAUAGCUUAAUAUGCCAAAGAAAACAUGACACCAAGUUGCAUUGGUACUAACGUACGUACCUUGUCUGCUUAUACACUCGAUCGUUUCCAAUGUAUGAAUAUUGAGUCACAGACACACUACUGUGUUCAGAAAAUAAAAUUGUUGUAUGUGUGAGUUUCAGUUUCAGUUUGAGCUCCCCGAGAGACCCUGCUCUGGGCGAUGACCCCUAGAGGUGGUGAUUUUUAUAUGCUACUCCCUUCGGUCCGUUUUAUGUGGCGUGAGCUAGUUUCGGAGAAUGGCCAUUUUAUCUGACGUAGCACCAUGACAUACGCUCUUAUUAAAUUGUAUGUAGCAGUCACCAAGCAGUUUUUUUUCCUUUCCCACCCUAUGCAUGCGUGCGUGCAUAAUUGAUCUGUAAUCACAUUGGCAUGCUUUUUCUCCUGCAUGCAGUUGUUAACGGCUCCACUAAAUAUAGAAAACAAAGCUAGAUUAAAUUAUUCUUGGUACGUGGAAUCCUAGUGUUGAUGCCAGAUAAAUAGGACCAGAGGAAGUAGCAAACAUGCCCGUACAUUAUAACAAGAUUUGUCAAUUGUUCUAAUACGCUUUAGAAUUAGACUCCAUACUUUUUAUAUGCUAGUAAACAUGUACAUACAUUGCAACAGGAUUUGUCAUUUAUUCUAAUACGCUUUAGAAUUAGACUCCAUACAUUGGUUAGACAUAUGCUAUCUAACUCGUAUGACUACAUCACAAUAUUGAGAUUAGUGAUGGAUGAUCUGGCGCUAAAAGUUGAUACAACGACGGAUGAUUUGACGCUAAAAAGCUUAUAGCAUUAGACUUCUACAGACAUGGAAUCUUUAGUGUCAAACAAUACUUUUAACGACAGACCAUCUGUUGCCCUGAAUGUAUAUAGCUACAAUCCCCGUUGCUAAGUUUUAGCUAAUCAUAUAGCGACAGAUCAUCCAAUAGUCCAUGUAUUUAUAGCGUCACAUUGUUCAAGGACAAUAUAAAUAUGCUAAAAAUAAAUACAAUUAGAAAAUAUUUAUC
rnacentral:lncRNA from 1 species